GCGCCUCUAGCUCAACUGGCAGAGCAGCGGACUCUUAAUCCGCGGGUUCAGGGUUCGAGGCCCUGGGGGCGCA
rnacentral:tRNA from 1 species